CCUACGGGAGGCAGCAGUGGGGAAUAUUGGACAAUGGGCGAAAGCCUGAUCCAGCAAUGCCGCGUGAGUGAUGAAGGCCUUCGGGUCGUAAAGCUCUUUUACCAGGGAUGAUAACGACAGUACCUGGAGAAUAAGCUCCGGCUAACUCCGUGCCAGCAGCCGCGGUAAUACGGAGGGAGCUAGCGUUGUUCGGAAUUACUGGGCGUAAAGAGUACGUAGGCGGUUAUUCAAGUCAGAGGUGAAAGCCCGGGGCUCAACCCCGGAACUGCCUUUGAAACUAGAUAACUAGAGUCUUGGAGAGGUUAGUGGAAUUCCGAGUGUAGAGGUGAAAUUCGUAGAUAUUCGGAAGAACACCAGUGGCGAAGGCGACUAACUGGACAAGUACUGACGCUGAGGUACGAAAGCGUGGGGAGCAAACAGGAUUAGAUACCCUGGUAGUCCACGCCGUAAACGAUGAUAACUAGUUGUUCGGUCACUUGGUGACUGAGUGACGCAGCUAACGCAUUAAGUUAUCCGCCUGGGGAUACGGUCGCAAGNUUAAAACUCAAAGUAUAAUGACGNUGGANGCGACGAGCACGAGGAGGUAG
rnacentral:rRNA from 1 species